UACGCAGGCUGGCAAUUAAGUCAGUGGUGAAAUCCCACCGCUCAACGGUGGAACUGCCAUUGAUACUGGUUGUCUUGAGUACAGUAGAGGUAUGCGGAAUGUGACAUGUAGCGGUGAAAUGCAUAGAUAUGUCAUAGAACACCGAUUGCGAAGGCAGCAUACUGGACUGUAACUGACGCUGAGGUACGAAAGCGUGGGGAGCGAACAGGAUUAGAUACCCUGGUAGUCC
rnacentral:rRNA from 1 species